rnacentral:tmRNA from 1 species
GGGGUUGUUUUGGUUUCGACGGGGAUUUUGAAAUUAAGGAAGCCAUCUGCGGGUCGGGACCGCAUCAGUAAACCGAACAAAAAUUUAAACGCAGACGAUAAUUUAGCGUACGCUGCCUAAUGGCAGCUGUCGACCUUAAGUUGCUCACAGCUUAAGUACUCGGCACAAUCUAUUGUGAGGCACCUUAUUCCCUAAGCUUUGCAGGAGUAAGAGAAACCAUGAAGCUACUAAAACCUUAAACCUGUCAUUGGGUGUUUGGUGGAGGGAACAGCGUAGAAGAUACGUAUAAAAUAAUGACUAUGAUGGAAGAAGCUUAAUGGAAGGGUUUUCGGACAGGGGUUCGACUCCCCUCAGCUCCAUGU